rnacentral:snRNA from 1 species
GGAUGUGAGGGUGAUUUGACUGCGACAUCUAUCACCCCAUUGAUCACCAGGGUUAAUUUGGCUGAUAUGGCUGGGCAGGGGGGUGUUCUCUUUCUCCCUCACUACUCCAUGUAUGUCCCUCCUGGAUCUGCACAUUCAAUGAAGGAGGACAACUCUCUGAUGGAGGAGGACUGCUCUUUUGUCAAGGGUAUAGGUGUAGCUGUGCUUCCCUGCUAGAACUUCUAAACAAGCUCUCAAGGUCCAAGCUUCCAAGAUUCCAGACACCUCCAAAUGAGGCUCUGCAUGUGGUAGUUUGCCUUUCUAA